CUACGGGUUGCUGCAGUGGGGAAUAUUGGACAAUGGGGGAAACCCUGAUCCAGCAAUGCCGCGUGUGUGAAGAAGGCCUGCGGGUUGUAAAGCACUUUCGGUUGGGAGGACUGCUUCUAGCACUAAUAUUGUUGGAAGUUGACGUUACCUUCAGAAGAAGCACCGGCUAACUCCGUGCCAGCAGCCGCGGUAAUACGGAGGGUGCAAGCGUGAAUCGGAAUUACUGGGCGUAAAGCGCGCGUAGGCGGCUAGAUCAGUCGGGUGUGAAAGCCCCGGGCUUAACCUGGGAACUGCAUCCGAUACUGUCUAGCUUGAGUACAGGAGAGGAGAGUGGAAUUCCACAUGUAGCGGGGAAAUGCGUAGAUAUGUGGAGGAACACCAAUGGCGAAGGCAGCUCUCUGGCCUGAUACUGACGCUGAGGUGCGAAAGCGUGGGGAGCAAACAGGAUUAGAUACCCUCGUAGUC
rnacentral:rRNA from 1 species